UUCCUAUGGGGGGCAGCAGCCGCGGUAAUACGUAGGGGGCAAGCGUUAUCCGGAUUUACUGGGUGUAAAGGGAGCGUAGACGGUAUGGCGAGUCUGAAGUGAAAGCCCAGGGCUUAACCCUGGGACUGCUUUGGAAACUGUUAGACUAGAGUGCUGGAGAGGUAAGUGGAAUUCCUAGUGUAGCGGUGAAAUGCGUAGAUAUUAGGAGGAACACCAGUGGCGAAGGCGGCUUACUGGACAGUAACUGACGUUGAGGCUCGAAAGCGUGGGGCGCAAACAGGAUUAGAAACCCGGGUAGUCCCAGG
rnacentral:rRNA from 1 species